AAUAAAUGUAUUUUUGUUCUUAAAGAGAAGACUUUCUGUCAGCAUGACUAAUCAGAUUAAAGCCAUUUUAAUUGAUCUAAGUGGAACCCUCCAUAUUGAAGAUGAUCCAACACCUAAUGCGCUAGAAGCCUUAGCUAGAUUGCAAGCUAGAAGUGAAAUCCAAAUAAAAUUUGUUACAAACACAACAAAAGAAAGUAAAUGCUUCCUUUUGAAUAGACUGACACAGAUUGGUUUUAAAGUUCAAGAAUCUGAAAUUUAUUCAUCAUUAUCUGCAGCUAGAAAACUUAUUGA
rnacentral:sRNA from 1 species